GAUUGGCAACAACAAUCAGCUGGCUGCAACAAUUUGGUCCAUCCCAAAUGGAGGCACAGAAACAUUCACGUUUAAGCCUAUCAAGGGCCGAUACGUCAACAUUGUUCUACCUGGGAUUUUUAAAAUUCUCAUUUUGUGUGAGGUUGAAGUAUAUGCAAAAAAGAAAAUGGCCACUUGAGUUCCAGGUCCACAUGUGCGUGCGUGCCCUUCCGGGAGAAGUGCCCGUACAAGGAAUUCCGCCCCCGUUUACGUCACUCAGGCCGAUACUCGAAAAAAAGAUUCCGAUAUCUGUGAGGAUUUGGAAGAGUAUUUUUGGCACAGAAAUACUGUCAUUCAUCCAACUUGUGUUUUGAAACUUUGGCCAUGUUUUGCAUGAGAAUCCAACUCUUUAACAGUGUAAAUAAGUCAGAAUACAUGAAAUAGCAUUAUACAUUAUAUUUAAUAUACACAAUAUUUAUUCUAUUUUUUAGAAACAACAGUGUGAUGUCUUUAUUGUGCGUUUCUGCUUGUAAAUUGUCUUAAUGAUUUUUCUGAUUUCAU